AUUGAACGCUGGCGGCAGGCCUAACACAUGCAAGUCGAACGAGUGGCGGACGGGUGAGUAAUGUCUGGGAAACUGCCUGAUGGAGGGGGAUAACUACUGGAAACGGUAGCUAAUACCGCAUACUAUCGGAUGUGCCCAGAUGGGAUUAGCUAGUUGGUGGGGUAAAGGCUCACCAAGGCGACGAUCCCUAGCUGGUCUGAGAGGAUGACCAGCCACACUGGAACUGAGACACGGUCCAGACUCCUACGGGAGGCAGCAGUGGGGAAUAUGGCACAAUGGGCGCAAGCCUGAUGCAGCCAUGCCGCGUGUAUGAAGAAGGCCUUCGGGUUGUAAAGUACUUUCAGCGGGGAGGCGUUACCCGCAGAAGAAGCACCGGCUAACUCCGUGCCAGCAGCCGCGGUAAUUC
rnacentral:rRNA from 1 species